GAUUUAGGGUAUAGACAAGAGAUUGGCGCCAAGGCCCAUUCUCAAGGCCCAAGGUUGGCCUAGUUCAUUGUAGGGGGUUCAUCAAGCCUUGGAGGUGCGCGGAUAGGAAUUUAAUGGACCUUGAGGAAGGUCGGGCCCAGGACCAGAUGCUCAUGAGAGGAAAGGGAGUGGGUCAAGCAUCCUAUUCAUGUUCAGAAGACUUAACACAUCACAUUUCAAGCCUUGGUCGGAAUUCCACCUCCGCCGCACCGGGAAUCGCCUCUGGCGGCGACGGAGGGCCAAACACCAAAAAUCCCACACCACUCCAAUCAUCUCAGCUUCCUCUUUCAGUAUCCAACAUCAAACUCACACAAUUCCAAACCUAAAUCCCUAAACAAAACCUAAUGCUAUGAAUCCAACUAACUUUUUGAUUUCUAUGUGUUAACUGCCAGGGAACUCGGUUUCAAUCGGAUGCAAUGUUAUUCACAAGUGAAAAUGAAAUUCAGUUAGGAAAAUGAGAGUGAAAAUGUGAAAUGCUGAGAAGUUAGUGAAAUGUGAAAAUUCAAUUAAAUGCGUUUAUCUAUUAAAAAUUAACUGUUCUUUUUAUCAAUUCAACUCUAGUUAUGUUUAAUUUCUGUUGGUGACAAAAAAUGUACAAUUAAAUUCAGUUAAUUGGUGAGGUACAUGGUGUAAGCUCAUUGUUGAGACUCAAUUGCUAUUGGUUAAUUGUUAGACUGAAAUUGAAAUGUCAUGUUCCUGUGAAAUGAUAUUUAUAGGUAUUAAAACAAGGGGAAUUAGCUUAAUGUUAUCCUGAGUUAGUUAUUAUUGAAAACUAAUUGAUUCUAAGUUGUUAAGUAUUAUUUUGAUUAGGUUGCAGAAUGCUGACUUUUGUUAUGGUUUUGGCUAUGUAUGGCAGGUUGGUCAAUGUUGUAGAAUGCUUGGAUGGUUUUGCAACUUGGUAUGCUAUGUAUUAUUGUUUGGAAAUAUGGUUAUGAUAACAUGAUGAUUGAACUGACUUAUGUUUACAUGGCUGCUAGAUGUAUGGUUCAUUGGCUUUGAAAGGCAUUGGUUAUCAUGGAGCAAGGCUUGGUUUUACAUGGUUUGCUUGUGAUUUGACCAUGGAAUAGCUAUGCUUUGGCCAUCAUGUGGAAUUGGAAUGCCAUGGAGCUGAUUUGGCAUGGAUUAUUGCUUGGAAUUAGUUUUGGGAUGUAGGAUAUUUUUUUGGGGGUUUAUGUUUGAAUGAGUGUAAUUUGGAAUUUGUUGUAAUUUUGGAAUUGUAAUGGUUAUGUAAUGGUAUUUGUGACAUUGACAUAAAGAACAAUGGUUGUAACAUGACUUGGUUGAAAUGUAUAGUUCGAAAUGUAAUGAAAUUGGAAUGUAGAAAUGAAUGUAAUUUUGGAAUUUGAAUGAAAUUA
rnacentral:lncRNA from 1 species